AGAGGAUAUGGUCCUUUGAGAUCUAUGUAGAUUGAUGGAUAACAGAGGAUGAAUUAUUUUGAGAUCGUAUAAAAGUCACAAUUCGGUCUCUCCGAAUUAAAGAUGUUUUAGUUUUUUUUUUCCUCAUUGUUUUAACUGUGUUAGAAUUCAGAUAGACGACUAAGCUAUAUUUUAAUAAAAAUAAAGAUUUGGUGGUUAAUUAAAACUUUUAAAACUUUUGAGGUCUCUAUGUAACUAAAUUUAAAGGAUUGUUAUAAUUUUCUUAUUGCUCGAUUUUAUCCAGACUUCCUACCAUCCUAGUUUCUGAAAAUAAAAAUGG
rnacentral:lncRNA from 1 species